AUUGAACGCUGGCGGCAGGCUUAACACAUGCAAGUCGAGCGAGCGGCAGACGGGUGAGUAAUGUCUGGGAAACUGCCUGAUGGAGGGGGAUAACUACUGGAAACGGUAGCUAAUACCGCAUAACGUCAGAUGUGCCCAGAUGGGAUGAGCUAGUAGGUGGGGUAAUGGCUCAACUAGGCGACGAUCCCUAGAUGGUCUGAGAGGAGGACCAGCCACACUGGAACUGAGACACGGUCCAGACUCCUACGGGAGUGAGCAGUGGGGAAUAGUGCACAAUGGGCGCAAGCCUGAUGCAGCCAUGCCGCGUGUGUGAAGAAGGCCUUCGGGUUGUAAAGCACUUUCAGCGAGGAGGCGUUACUCGCAGAAGAAGCACCGGCUAACUCCGUGCCAGCCGCAGCGGUAAUUC
rnacentral:rRNA from 1 species